UUUUUAAUGGUUGAUUUAAAAUGUUAAAUAGCAUGGGACUAAGAACGUACGCUGCUGGCCUGUCAAACCAGCGCAUAGAACCUGAUCGCGCACCUUGCGAAGAUGCCAGUGCACUAGAGCAGCAGGAUCACCCUUAUCGACCCAAUCUGCGACAUCGCUUUGUUACCAGUUGCACAGCAGUCUGAAGACAUCUCUUCAGAAGAAGAGAAAAUGGAGUGCACCCAUUGCAGCUCUCAGCCUCGCUUGUGCCGCCAGCCAGCACGGUAUUGGUGUCCUGUGACAAGGGAAGUUUCUCUGAUGCCUUCAAAUUCCCUCUGAAAUUCUUCUGUUUGUGGUUCCGCUUUGCCUUGCAACCAAGGUGAGCUGCUUAGUGCCAGCCUGUCACUGACCAGGAUGUGUUAAUGGCUUCAGAUGCUGGCUCUGAUCAGAAAGAUCCAAGGAUUUGAGCCAUGAGUCCUUCACGUGAGAAAUGAACAAAUGGGCAUUUCUUUCCUGAUCUGUGUGAGGGUCCCAAAACCUCGUCACGCAGCCAAACCGGAGACCAAGGUAAUCACAUAGGAUCAAGCAUCUGGCCCUUCGAGAUUUUUCA